rnacentral:rRNA from 1 species
AAUGAACGCUGGCGGCGUGCUUAACACAUGCAAGUCGUGCGCGAAAGCGGCUUCGGCCGCGUGUAGAGCGGCGAACGGGUGAGUAACACGUGGGUGAUCUGCCCUGCACUUCGGGAUAAGCUUGGGAAACUGGGUCUAAUACCGGAUAGGACCACGGUCUGCAUGGAUUGUGGUGGAAAGCUUUUGCGGUGUGGGAUGGGCCCGCGGCCUAUCAGCUUGUUGGUGGGGUGAUGGCCUACCAAGGCGACGACGGGUAGCCGGCCUGAGAGGGUGUCCGGCCACACUGGGACUGAGAUACGGCCCAGACUCCUACGGGAGGCAGCAGUGGGGAAUCUUGCGCAAUGGGCGAAAGCCUGACGCAGCAACGCCGCGUGGGGGAUGAAGGCUCUCGGGUUGUAAACCCCUUUCAGCAGGGACGAAUCAAGACGGUACCUGCAGAAGAAGCCCCGGCUAACUACGUGCCAGCAGCCGCGGU